UACGUAGGGUGCGAGCGUUAAUCGGAAUUACUGGGCGUAAAGCGUGCGCAGGUGGUUGUGUAAGCUUGAUGUGAAAUCCCCGGGCUUAACCUGGGAAUGGCAUUGAGGACUGCACGGCUAGAGUGUGGCAGAGGGGGGUGGAAUUCCGCGUGUAGCAGUGAAAUGCGUAGAGAUGCGGAGGAACACCGAUGGCGAAGGCAGCCCCCUGGGCCAAUACUGACGCUCAGGCACGAAAGCGUGGGGAGCAAACAGG
rnacentral:rRNA from 1 species